AGCAGCCGCGGUAAUUCCAGCUCCAAUAGCGUAUAUUAAAGUUGUUGCAGUUAAAAAGCUCGUAGUUGAAUUUCGGGAUCAAUACGUCGGUCGUGCUUCGGUACGUACUGGUGUCAUUGAUUUCUCCCUUCUGACGAACCAUGAUGUCAUUAACUUGGUGUCAUGGGAAAUCAGGACUGUUACUUUGAAAAAAUUAGAGUGUUUAAAGCAGGCUCACGCUUGAAUACAUUAGCAUGGAAUAAUGAAAUAGGACGUCCGAUCCUAUUUUGUUGGUUUCUAGGAUCAACGUAAUGAUUAAUAGGGAUAGUUGGGGGCAUUAGUAUUCAAUUGUCAGAGGUGAAAUUCUUGGAUUUAUUGAAGACUAACUACUGCGAAAGCAAUUUGCCAAGGAUGUUUUCAUUAAUCAAGAACGAAAGUUAGGGGAAUCGAAGACGAUCAGAUACCGUCGUAGUCUUAACCAUAAACUAUGCCGACUAGGGAUCGGAUGAUGUUAAUUAUUAAUGACUCAUUC
rnacentral:rRNA from 1 species